GAUGAACGCUGGCGGCGUGCCUAAUACAUGCAAGUCGAGCGAACGGACGAGAAGCUUGCUUCUCUGAUGUUAGCGGCGGACGGGUGAGUAACACGUGGAUAACCUACCUAUAAGACUGGGAUAACUUCGGGAAACCGGAGCUAAUACCGGAUAAUAUUUUGAACCGCAUGGUUUAAAAGUGAAAGACGGUCUUGCUGUCAUUUAUAGAUGGAUCCGCGCUGCAUUAGCUAGUUGGUAAGGUAACGGCUUACCAAGGCAACGAUGCAUAGCCGACCGGAGAGGUGGAUCGGCCACACGGGAACGGAGCCACGCUCCAGCCUCCUACGGGAGGCAGCAGUAGGGAAUCUUCCGCAAUGGGCGAAAGCCUGACGGAGCAACGCCGCGUGAGUGAUGAAGGUCUUCGGAUCGUAAGACUCUGUUAGUAGGGAAGAACAUAUGUGUAAGUAACUGUGCACAUCUUGACGGUACCUAAUCAGAAAGCCCCGGCUAACUACGUG
rnacentral:rRNA from 1 species